UUCCGGUUUGAUGGGAUGUCACGGCCUCGCCCCCCCCAGAGAGAAAGCGAGGGAAAGAGAGCGAGCAGGUGAUUAAGUGAAGCGGCCUCAGGUGCCACAGCUCGUCACACACCUGAACUGAGCGGCUCUCGAACCUCCGGAGAAACUUCUAGUGUCUGACAGCAUCUGGUGCACGUGCGCUUCCCGCUGCUGCUUCACACGCGCGCACAGAUAGUUGCAGGUUCACAGUGGAGAUAUUUGAUUUGUCGUUUCGAGCUGAGUUCUCUGCAGAGCUGCAGCAGCAAAUAUGUUUGCUUGAGUUGUCUGGUUUCCAGUUAGUUUUAUUUCUCCUGUGUUCCUUUAACUUCAGGUAGGAUCAGCCUACGCAGGUUUUAUUGUCUGGAGGAUUUUAACAGGUGGGAGGUUCAGGUAGAGACAGGGAGGCCAUGAAGGAGGAGAUAGCAGCCGCUGUGUUCUUCGUGGCUCGGCUGGUGAAGAGGUAUGGUUGUCUGGAUAACCACGGCAGGGAGAGGUUCGCCACUGCACUGACCUCGGCUCUGUUCGAGAACUACAAGAACCACUGGCACCCAAAGGCUCCCACCAAGGGUCAGGCCUACAGGUGUCUGCGUAUGAAUGGCGUGCGGCUGCAGGACCCGGUGCUGCAGCAGGCCUGUGAGCGCAGCGCGGUGCGGUACCAGGAUCUGGGCCUUCCCCACGAGCUGACGGUGUGGGUCGACCCUGGAGAGGUGUCCUGCAGGUAUGGUGAACGCAGCUCUCCGUUCUGCGUCUCAGUGGUGGACAGUUGCCGGCGUGAUGGGGGAUUCUCCCGACGUGUCCAUGACGCCGUGGAGCGGGCGAGCCUUGACAUCCCGUCAGGAAGCUCCGACGACGAGGACGAGGCCGGUGGAGACAUCAGCAUGAGCAGCAACAGCAUGAGCAGCAACAGCAUGAGCAACAGCAUGAGCAACAGCAUGAGCAACAGCGCAGCAACAGCAUGAGCAGCAGCGGCAGUUGCGGCGGCGGCAGCGUCCUGUCGGUUCUCUGCCCUGCUCCGAUCCCAGCCAACAACCUUGAACCCAAAACCAUCCCAACUGUCAGCAACCCCAACAGCGUCUACCGGAUCUCUUGUCACCGCCCGCUAUCCAUCGGCUCUUCUCGUCCUCAGUUCAGCGAGUUUUCUCCCGGCGCCCCUCAGACCUGGCUGAGGGAGAAGCGGAAGGCCUUCGCCGGUGACUCGUUCCCUCCUCACCCCCCGCACCCUCCUCACCCUCCUCCCUCCUCUCACCCUCCUCCCUCUCACCCUCCUCACCCUCCUCUCACCCUCCUCCAACUGGAGGCCCGAGCUCCCAGUUCUCCAUCCAGAAAGGCUUCAAGUCCUAUCGAGCCACGUUUACCUUCACUGGGCCUCGUGUGGACAAGUACCACUGGGUCAGCAAGUCUCGGUCCUGAAGCCCAGAACCACACUUGGGCUGCUGUUCUGGAAAGGAGCCGUGAUGUUAUGAAUGAAAAAAGUGUCUGGAGAGUUUGUCUGUUAUCUUUAAAAGUCUAAGUUUGUGGUUUAAAGUAGUAAUGGUUUAAAAAAAGUUAAUGCUAUUUCAGCACGUUUUUAAGCUUUGAAAUAUUCAGGUUUUAACUAAAUUCUUCCUUCUAAAUGUGUUUUUAAUUAAAAAUUAAUCUUAAGUGUGAAUAAAGUAACAUUCAACUGUCAUUGAAAAGAAAUAAAACUGGUUAUUCUAAA